rnacentral:lncRNA from 1 species
AAGUGGUGGCAGGGAAGGCCUCAUUGAGGUGACACUGGAGUGAAAUUUGAAGGUCAUGGCAUGAACCAUGUGACCAAGGAAGCAGCAAACAAACCCUGAGGCAGCAAGAGCAACUCACCACCAGCCUUGGGCCCAGAAGCAUGCCCUGUCUCCCUGCCCAGUCCCCCGGAAGCCUCCACACUCAAGGGCCCUCCACCUGAGGCAGAUCUUCCUAGGAGCCCUGGAAACUUGACGGAGAGAGAAGAGCUGGCAGGGAGCCUGGCCCGGGCUAUUGCAGGUGGAGACGAGAAGGGGGCAGCCCAAGUGGCAGCCGUCCUGGCCCAGCAUCGUGUGGCCCUGAGUGUUCAGCUUCAGGAGGCCUGCUUCCCACCUGGCCCCAUCAGGCUGCAGGUCACACUUGAAGACGCUGCCUCUGCCGCAUCCGCCGCGUCCUCUGCACACGUUGCCCUGCAGGUCCACCCCCACUGCACUGUUGCAGCUCUCCAGGAGCAGGUGUUCUCAGAGCUCGGUUUCCCGCCAGCCGUGCAACGCUGGGUCAUCGGACGGUGCCUGUGUGUGCCUGAGCGCAGCCUUGCCUCUUACGGGGUUCGGCAGGAUGGGGACCCUGCUUUCCUCUACUUGCUGUCAGCUCCUCGAGAAGCCCCAGGUCAGUCCUCGAUGGGGGUGGGGUGUG